GAUUUCUGGUGAGACAAGCCUGAUCGGCUCCGUCAGGACGUCUGUGUUGGGUCAUUGUCCACCAUCCUUGCGGGGAACCCUGCUACCCUUCACUGGGUCGGCAGCGGCAAACCGCAUCGUUUACUUUGAAAAAAUUAGAGUGUUUAAAGCAGGCUUACGCUAUGAAUACAUUAGCAUGGAAUAAUAACUUAGGACUUCAGUUCUAUUUUAUUGGUUUCUAGGACAGAAGUAAUGAUUGAUAGGGAUAGUUGGGGGUGCUAGUAUUCAGAGGCCAGAGGUGAAAUUCUUGGAUUCUCUGAAGACUAACUUAUGCGAAAGCAUU
rnacentral:rRNA from 1 species